GAGUUUGAUCAUGGCUCAGGAUGAACGCUGGCGGCGUGCCUAACACAUGCAAGUCGAACGGGCCGAUUUAUUUGAAACCUUCGGGUUGAUAAUGAUGAGGUUAGUGGCGGAUGGGUGAGUAACGCGUGGGCAACCUACCCUGUACAGGGGGAUAACAAUGGGAAACCAUUGCUAAUACCCCAUGAUACCUUUUAAGGGCAUCCUUAAAAGGUCAAAGAAUUUCGGUAUAGGAUGGGCCCGCGUCUGAUUAGCUAGUUGGUAGGGUAAUGGCCUACCAAAGCAACGAUCAGUAGCCGGCCUGAGAGGGUGAACGGCCACACUGGAACUGAGACACGGUCCAGACUCCUACGGGAGGCAGCAGUGGGGAAUAUUGCACAAUGGGGGAAACCCUGAUGCAGCAACGCCGCGUGAGCGAUGAAGGCUUUCGAGUCGUAAAGCUCUGUCCUAAGGGAAGAUAAUGACGGUACCUUAGGAGGAAGCCCCGGCUAACUACGUGCCAGCAGCCGCGGUAAUACGUAGGGGGCAAGCGUUAUCCGGAAUUAUUGGGCGUAAAGGGUGCGUAGGCGGCCUUAUGGGUCAGAGGUUAAAUACUACGGCUUAACCGUAGUAUGCCUUUGAAACUAUAGGGCUUGAGUGCAGGAGAGGAGAGUGGAAUUCCUAGUGUAGCGGUGAAAUGCGUAGAUAUUAGGAGGAAUACCAGUGGCGAAGGCGACUCUCUGGACUGCAACUGACGCUAAGGCACGAAAGCGUGGGUAGCGAACAGGAUUAGAUACCCUGGUAGUCCACGCCGUAAACGAUGAGUGCUAGGUGUUGGGGGUCAAACCUCGGUGCCGCAGUUAACGCAUUAAGCACUCCGCCUGGGGAGUACGUUCGCAAGAAUAAAACUCAAAGGAAUUGACGGGGACCCGCACAAGCAGCGGAGCAUGUGGUUUAAUUCGAAGCAACGCGAAGAACCUUACCUGGACUUGACAUCCCUCUGACCGUCUUUUAAUCAAGAUUUUCCCUUCGGGGACAGAGGAGACAGGUGGUGCAUGGUUGUCGUCAGCUCGUGUCGUGAGAUGUUGGGUUAAGUCCCGCAACGAGCGCAACCCUUGUCUUUAGUUGCCAUCAAGUAAAGUUGGGCACUCUAGAGAGACUGCCAAGGUAAACUUGGAGGAAGGUGGGGAUGACGUCAAAUCAUCACGGCCCUUAUGUCCAGGGCUACACACGUGCUACAAUGGUAACUACAGAGGGCAGCGACUAGGCGACUAGGAGCGAAUCUCGAAAAGUUAUCGUAGUUCGGAUUGGAGUCUGCAACUCGACUCCAUGAAGAUGGAUUCGCUAGUAAUCGCGCAUCAGCAAUGGCGCGGUGAAUACGUUCCCGGGCCUUGUACACACCGCCCGUCAAGCCAUGGAAGUCGGGGGUACCUGAAGUUCGUGACCAUAACAGGAGCGACCUAGGGUAAACUCGAUGACUGGGGCUAAGUCGUAACAAGGUAGCCG
rnacentral:rRNA from 1 species